UACGGAGGAUCCGAGCGUUAUCCGGAUUUAUUGGGUUUAAAGGGUGCGUAGGCGGCCUUGUAAGUCAGGGGUGAAAGACGGUAGCUCAACUAUCGCAGUGCCUUUGAUACUGCAGGGCUUGAAUGUACUUGAGGUAGGCGGAAUGUGACAAGUAGCGGUGAAAUGCAUAGAUAUGUCACAGAACACCAAUUGCGAAGGCAGCUUACUAAAGUAUGAUUGACGCUGAGGCACGAAAGCGUGGGGAUCAAACAGG
rnacentral:rRNA from 1 species